UACGAAGGGGGCUAGCGUUGCUCGGAAUCACUGGGCGUAAAGGGUGCGUAGGCGGGUUCUUAAGUCAGAGGUGAAAUCCUGGAGCUCAACUCCAGAACUGCCUUUGAUACUGAGAGUCUUGAGUUCGGGAGAGGUGAGUGGAACUGCGAGUGUAGAGGUGAAAAUUCGUAGAUAUUCGCAAGAACACCAGUGGCGAAGGGCGGCUCACUGGCCCGAUACUGACGCUGAGGCACGAAAAGCGUGGGGGAGCAAACAGGG
rnacentral:rRNA from 1 species